CUUGUCCAUGGGCUGUAAUUCAAUGCAGCUGCAACAAAGUCAAGUGGCGGAGUCAGAACUGAGAGAACCAUUACUCCUAUGUGACAAGUGGAGCCCUCGGGCGACUCCAGACAGCCUCUUGUGUCCUGGAAAAAAAGUACCCUUGUAGUAAAACUGUUGUCCGCAAGUAUUUAAAGUCAUUAUCACACAUUAUUUACAAAACAUCCCAUAAGAAGAGCUUGACAUUUGACCAGAUCUGAACAGCAAAUCUCUGCGCUGCCGACACAUGGACAGUUUUCUUUAGCAAAAGGAAGAGGAAAUAACAUCAGUAACAUGAUGUUUCAUUCAGGUCUAGAUGUAAUCGUCUGCCCAAAAAUGUACAGAGUAACACUGCCAGAAAAUACCUGUCUACAGAUGAUGGGACUGCUUCUUCUGCAGGCCCAGGGCCCAGGGACGACAAGGAUGGCGGGGCGCGCUCUGUUCCAGGGCCCAGGGACGACAAGGACGGCGAGGAGUACUCUGUUUUCAUCACACUAAAAGGAAGAUAUGCC